rnacentral:rRNA from 1 species
GACGAACGCUGGCGGCGUGCUUAACACAUGCAAGUCGAACGGUGAAGCGCCUUCCUUUUUGGUGGGUGGGGAGGAGUGGCGAACGGGUGAGUAACACGUGAGUAACCUGCCCCCUUCUUCUGGAUAACCGCAUGAAAGUGUGGCUAAUACGGGAUACUCUGGGUCUGUCGCAUGAUGGGUCUGGGAAAGAUAUUGUGUCGGUGGGGGAUGGGCUCGCGGCCUAUCAGCUGGUUGGUGGGGUGAGGGCCUACCAAGGCGGGGGCGGGUGGCCGGCCUGAGAGGUCGGACGGUCUGGCUCGGACCGACGCACCGCCCGGCCUCCGGCGGGAGGCAGCCGUAGUGUUUAUUGCACGAUGGGCGCAUGCCUGAUGCAGCCCCGCCGCGUGAGGGAUGCUGGCGUUCGGGUUGGCACCCUCUUUCGGCAGGGAAGCAGGCCUGCCUCGUUUGUGGGUGGGUUGACGUUAGCUGGAUAAGAAGCGCCGGCUACCUACGU